GCAUGUACUGUACGGUAGCCGGUGCCCAUCUUUGGUUACGAGCAAGUUAAGAUUUUGUCUGCGGAUGUAGUGUGUGAGUCCUGGACUGAGGCUCGGUCAAGUACCAGGUGGAAUUGUGAAAGAACAAGGGGUCUGAUAUUUGGAGGGAAAACCUCAAAAUCUCUAGCUCAAAUAUUUGAGAUGAUGAGGAGAGGAAGAACAAAAAGGAUUUGAACAGUAUCAGCCAGAGGAUUGAAAUGUAAGAAAGGGAUGUGCAUGAGAUCGUGAAUGAAGAAAACAGGCAGGUUAAGUAACACAACUUCUCUGGAGAACAGGCUUUUAUUUCAAGCAGCAGAGACAAAAGCAGCAGACACAAAGGCAGAGGAGGCACAAGGAUCCGAGAAGAGAUGAGAAGAGACACAAGCAGCAGAGACACAAGCAACAGAGACACAAGCGGCAGAGAAAUAAAAAAGCAACAGAGACACAAGCGGCAGAGACACAAGCAACAGAGACACAAGCAGCAGAGACACAAGCAACAGAGACACAAGCGGCAGAGAAAUAA